rnacentral:rRNA from 1 species
ACGUAGGGAGCAAGCGUUGUCCGGAAUUACUGGGCGUAAAGGGCGCGUAGGCGGGAACUCAAGUCAGAUGUGAAAACUCCGGGCUCAACCUGGAGACUGCAUUUGAAACUGGGUUUCUUGAGGGCAGGAGAGGAAAGUGGAAUUCCUAGUGUAGCGGUGAAAUGCGUAGAUAUUAGGAGGAACACCGGUGGCGAAGGCAGCUUUCUGGACUGUACCUGACGCUGAGGCGCGAAAGCGUGGGGAGCGAACAG